rnacentral:rRNA from 1 species
GAUGAACGCUGGCGGCGUGCCUAAUACAUGCAAGUCGAGCGAACGGACGAGAAGCUUGCUUCUCUGAUGUUAGCGGCGGACGGGUGAGUAACACGUGGAUAACCUACCUAUAAGACUGGGAUAACUUCGGGAAACCGGAGCUAAUACCUGAUAAUAUUUUGAACCGCAUGGUUCAAAAAUGAAAGACGGUCUUGCUGUCACUUAUAGAUGGAUCCGCGCUGCAUUAGCUAGUUGGUAAGGUAACGGCUUACCAAGGCAACGAUGCAUAGCCGACCUGAGAGGGUGAUCGGCCACACUGGAACUGAGACACGGUCCAGACUCCUACGGGAGGCAGCAGUAGGGAAUCUUCCGCAAUGGGCGAAAGCCUGACGGAGCAACGCCGCGUGAGUGAUGAAGGUCUUCGGAUCGUAAAACUCUGUUAUUAGGGAAGAACAUAUGUGUAAGUAACUGUGCACAUCUUGACGGUACCUAAUCAGAAAGCCACGGCUAACUACGUG